CCUACGGGCGGCAGCAGUGAGGAAUAUUGGUCAAUGGACGGAAGUCUGAACCAGCCAUGCCGCGUGCAGGAAGACGGCUCUAUGAGUUGUAAACUGCUUUUGUACAAGGGUAAACCUGAAUACGUGUAUUCAGCUGAAAGUACUGUACGAAUAAGGAUCGGCUAACUCCGUGCCAGCAGCCGCGGUAAUAAGGAGGAUCCAAGCGUUAUCCGGAUUUAUUGGGUUUAAAGGGUGGGUAGGCGGAUUGAUAAGUUAGAGGGGAAAUGUCCGAGCUUAACUCGGGAACUGCCUCUAAUACUGUUGAUCUAGAGAGUAGAUGCGGUAGGCGGAAUGUAUGGUGUAGCGGUGAAAUGCUUAGAGAUCAUACAGAACACCGAUUGCGAAGGCAGCUUACCAAUCUAUAUCUGACGUUGAGGCACGAAAGCGUGGGGAGCAAACAGGAUUAGAUACCCCUGUAGUC
rnacentral:rRNA from 1 species